rnacentral:rRNA from 1 species
GACUAACGCUGGCGGUAUGCCUUAUACAUGCAAGUCGAACGGUAAGGCCUCUUCGGAGGUACACGAGUGGCGGACGGGUGAGUAACACGUAGGAAUAUGCCCUUAGAUGGGGACAACUCAAAGAAAUUUGAGCUAAUACCCCAUAUGUCGAAAGAUGAAAGAUUUAUCGUCUAGGGAGUAGACCUGCGUUUGAUUAGCUUGUUGGUGGGGUAAAAGCCUACCAAGGCGACGAUCAAUAGCUGGUUUGAGAGGAUGACCAGCCACAAUGGGACUGAGAUACGGCCCAU